rnacentral:rRNA from 1 species
UGUUUGAUGUUCUAACGUUGACCCGUAAUCCGGGUUGCGGACAGUGUCUGGUGGGUAGUUUGACUGGGGCGGUCUCCUCCUAAAGAGUAACGGAGGAGCACGAAGGUUGGCUAAUCCUGGUCGGACAUCAGGAGGUUAGUGCAAUGGCAUAAGCCAGCUUGACUGCGAGCGUGACGGCGCGAGCAGGUGCGAAAGCAGGUCAUAGUGAUCCGGUGGUUCUGAAUGGAAGGGCCAUCGCUCAACGGAUAAAAGGUACUCCGGGGAUAACAGGCUGAUACCGCCCAAGAGUUCAUAUCGACGGCGGUGUUUGGCACCUCGAUGUCGGCUCAUCACAUCCUGGGGCUGAAGUAGGUCCCAAGGGUAUGGCUGUUCGCCAUUUAAAGUGGUACGCGAGCUGGGUUUAGAACGUCGUGAGACAGUUCGGUCCCUAUCUGCCGUGGGCGCUGGAGAACUGAGGGGGGCUGCUCCUAGUACGAGAGGACCGGAGUGGACGCAUCACUGGUGUUCGGGUUGUCAUGCCAAUGGCACUGCCCGGUAGCUAAAUGCGGAAGAGAUAAGUGCUGAAAGCAUCUAAGCACGAAACUUGCCCCGAGAUGAGUUCUCCCUGACCCUUUAAGGGUCCUGAAGGA